UUUAAUUAAAAACGUAUAAGACCUAAUAAAAAGAGGUCUCUCCCUUUUCAGAAGGAGCUAUAGUCAGCUUUCCCCUUCUGGACAACAAAAAAGAUCCUAGCCACACCAAGAGGAGAAAGGCUCUCAAAUUCCUCACACACGCUCAUUCUCAUUCAUCAAUGCACACACUCACAUUCUGGAUUCGAAUUCAAAGAUCAGAUAUGAGGAAAAACACAAAAGCUCUUAAAAGACGCAAAAAUAAAGAUUUCAAGUAGAACUUGAAGUGAAAUCAAGCAUUGAAGAUUUUAUUCACACUUCCCUGGGUUUUCCAAGUUGAUUUCAACUGGUAAUUGAAGUUGUUUUACAAAUAAACUGCAACUGAACUCCAACUUUUCCUCCUUUCUACCCUUUCUUUUGGCAAUUUUACGUUGAUUCCUAAGCGACCAGGUACAUAUCCCAAUCUUGUAUCUCCUCUCUGAUUCGUAAUAAGACUGUGGAUAUACUUCUAGCUCAUGUGCUUCAAUCGUUUGAAUCUGUUGAAAUUUAGUUUUACCAUAUUUGAACGUGUUGAAAAUUGAUUUUUAGCAUAAGUGCAAUGUUAUAACUUUGAUUGAGGUGUUUGAUUUAACUGAUACCAGGAACAUGUUGCGGAUUUAAGUGAUAAUGACAAAAACAAGUAUGGAAAUCGAUGCUGCAUCUCGUGUGCAAUCUACGAGCAUAAGUGUCUUUAGUUUGAGGCAUACUUAAUGUUCCGUGCAAAAUCUUGAAGUUCGGUUGUUAGAUCUCGAUUUUAUGUCUUGAACGUUUGAAGUAAUAUGCGCAGAGUUCAAAUUUGCCUUGAACUGUCUUGUAUUUUUUCUGGUAAAUUAAGAUUCUGUUUGAAGAGUGAAAAAAUCACCCGCGCUUGGAGAAGCUUCUCACCAUUUUCCAGCCAUGAAAUCCCCCUAAAAGCAGCUCGGAAAAGUCCAUAAACUCACCUAAACUAUUGUAGAAAAGUUAGUAGAUUUAUCAGAUCUUUGGGACCUUAAUAACUCUACAGAAAGUAAGCCAUGAUCGGUUGAUCACCUUUGGGGAACUAAGUAGGAAGUGAUCGUUAUUCAGAAGUGCUCAUUGUUUAGAAGGGCAAGGCUGUUAAGAAAUAUUUUUCCGUUUUCUCUUUGAUCUUGAAGAAGAGCAUUGAUCAUACUUGGGAAAUUUACGUAACUACUUUACCUUAGCACAAACCAGUCUCAGAGUCUAAUACAUUUCUCUACUGUAGCUAGGUAAGAUUCGGCAUUAUCAAACUCUAAAUGAUUGCUUUUUGAACUAUUUCUAUCCUUGAAGCAGCCUAAAUGAGUAAAAGAAGUAGAAUCGUACUUUGUUCACAAAUUAAUACAUAAGUUCCAGCCUACGUGUUAGCGGUUGUGAUGUAUAUCUUGUCCAACCUAUGUGUCCUCCUGCUAAUGAUAAGGAUUCAGUUGUGCUAUUUUUAAGACACAUCUGUAAGGUAUGCAAAUGCUGAAGUUAAGCACUCAUUCUCAUUUUAUGUUUGUUUGGUAUUCUUGUGAAUCAAUACAUCCAUAGCUGAAAUCUCCCCGUGUAAUUUCAAUCUUUCUCCGGCAAUCGUCUACCGGCGGCGAGUUAAAGU
rnacentral:lncRNA from 1 species